rnacentral:rRNA from 1 species
UCAGGACGAACGCUGGCGGCGUGCUUAACACAUGCAAGUCGAACGGAAAGGCCCUUCGGGGUGCUCGAGUGGCGAACGGGUGAGUAACACGUGGGUGAUCUGCCCUGCACUUUGGGAUAAGCCUGGGAAACUGGGUCUAAUACCGGAUAGGAUCGUCGGCUUCAUGGCCGGUGGUGGAAAGCUUUUGCGGUGUGGGAUGGGCCCGCGGCCUAUCAGCUUGUUGGUGGGGUAAUGGCCUACCAAGGCGACGACGGGUAGCCGGCCUGAGAGGGUGACCGGCCACACUGGGACUGAGAUACGGCCCAGACUCCUACGGGAGGCAGCAGUGGGGAAUAUUGCACAAUGGGCGCAAGCCUGAUGCAGCGACGCCGCGUGAGGGAUGACGGCCUUCGGGUUGUAAACCUCUUUCAGCAGGGACGAAGCGCAAGUGACGGUACCUGUAGAAGAAGGACCGGCCAACUACGUGCCAGCAGCCGCGGUAAUACGUAGGGUCCGAGCGUUGUCCGGAAUUACUGGGCGUAAAGAGCUCGUAGGUGGUUUGUCGCGUUGUUCGUGAAAACUCACAGCUCAACUGUGGGCGUGCGGGCGAUACGGGCAGACUUGAGUACUGCAGGGGAGACUGGAAUUCCUGGUGUAGCGGUGGAAUGCGCAGAUAUCAGGAGGAACACCGGUGGCGAAGGCGGGUCUCUGGGCAGUAACUGAC